rnacentral:rRNA from 1 species
ACUCCUACGGGAGGCAGCAGUGGGGAAUAUUGCACAAUGGGCGCAAGCCUGAUGCAGCCAUGCCGCGUGUGUGAAGAAGGCCUUCGGGUUGUAAAGCACUUUCAGCAGUGAGGAAGGCGGAGUCGUUAAUAGCGGCCUCGUUUGACGUUAGCUGCAGAAGAAGCACCGGCUAACUCCGUGCCAGCAGCCGCGGUAAUACGGAGGGUGCGAGCGUUAAUCGGAAUUACUGGGCGUAAAGCGCAUGCAGGUGGUUUGUUAAGUCAGAUGUGAAAGCCCGGGGCUCAACCUCGGAAUAGCAUUUGAAACUGGCAGACUAGAGUACUGUAGAGGGGGGUAGAAUUUCAGGUGUAGCGGUGAAAUGCGUAGAGAUCUGAAGGAAUACCGGUGGCGAAGGCGGCCCCCUGGACAGAUACUGACACUCAGAUGCGGAAAGCGUGGGGAGCAAACGAGGAUUAGAUACCCUGGUAGAUAGAC